rnacentral:rRNA from 1 species
UACGUAGGGUGCGAGCGUUAAUCGGAAUUACUGGGCGUAAAGCGUGCGCAGGCGGUUCGUUGUGUCGGUGGUGAAAUCCCCGGGCUUAACCUGGGAAUGGCCAUGGAAACUGGCGAACUGGAGUGUGGCAGAGGGGGGUGGAAUUCCGCGUGUAGCAGUGAAAUGCGUAGAGAUGCGGAGGAACACCGAUGGCGAAGGCGGCAUCCUGGACCAUGACUGACGCUGAGGAGCGAAAGCCAGGGGAGCAAACGGG